CCGACCUUAGCUCAGUUGGUAGAGCGGAGGACUGUAGUGGUUAACACCGAAAGCCAUCCUUAGGUCGCUGGUUCGAAUCCGGCAGGUCGGA
rnacentral:tRNA from 1 species